UGCCUACGGGGCGCAGCAGUGGGGAAUAUUGCGCAAUGGGGGGAACCCUGAUGCAGCGACGCCGCGUGGGUGAAGAAGUCAUUCGUGACGUAAAGCCCUAUCAGCAGGGAAGAAAAUGACGGUACCUGACUAAGAAGCCCCGGCUAACUACGUGCCAGCAGCCGCGGUAAUACGUAGGGGGCAAGCGUUAUCCGGAUUUAUUGGGUGUAAAGGGCGUGUAGGCGGGAGCGCAAGUCAGAUGUGAAAACUCAGGGCUCAACCCUGAGCCUGCAUUUGAAACUGUGUUUCUUGAGUGCUGGAGAGGG
rnacentral:rRNA from 1 species